rnacentral:sRNA from 1 species
GCCAGGUGCAGUGGCGCAUGUCUGUAAUCCCAACAGCUUGGGAGGCUGAGACAGUAGGAUCUUGAGUUCAAAGCCAGCCUCAGCAAAAGUGAGGCUUUAAGCAACCCAGUGAGACUCUGUCUCUA